UACGUAGGGACCAAGCGUUGUUCGGAUUUACUGGGCGUAAAGGGCGCGUAGGCGGCGCGGUAAGUCACUUGUGAAAUCUCUGAGCUUAACUCAGAACGGCCAAGUGAUACUGCAGUGCUAGAGUGUGGAAGGGGCAAUCGGAAUUCUUGGUGUAGCGGUGAAAUGCGUAAAUAUCGAGAGGAACACCUGAGGUGAGGACGGGUUGCUGGGCCGACACUGACGCUGAGUGCGCGAAAGCGUGGGGAGCAAACAGG
rnacentral:rRNA from 1 species